AAACUGUAACACCAGCUCCUCCUUUACCCAGACACAACAGAUCAAUUUCUUUACGAAUCUAUAAGCACUAGUGGCCAAUCCUCCUGGAUAAUCUUCAUGUUUAGUAAAUAGAUGGAUAUCUUUCUCUUAGACAUCGAUACAAUCCUCCAGAAUGCCAGUUGUCUUGCCUGCUUGUCACAGAGUACUCAAGGAGGUUUGUAGAAGGUUGCCGGGUUUUUCACCCGCUGAAGUGUUGGAUUUUGGUGCUGGCAUGGGUUUGGCUUUCUGGGCACUAUGAGAAGUCUGGCCGAAUUCCUUGGAGAAAGUUAACUUAGUAGAGUCAUCACAAUCAAUGCAGCGUGCAGGCCAGAGCCUUAUACAAGGUACACCUUUUGUGGGCUGGCAACAAUGAUUCUGAUCAAUGAGGUCAAUUGUUUGGACUUGCCUAGACUAAUUGAUUGGUUGGUAUUUCGACAAGGGAAGGAAUGUGGAUUUCAGGGGAGGACUAAUAAGUUAGUUGAUGGUUGCUACUCUUUCUGGCAGGGUUGAAGGUUCCCUUUCCAGUGAAUUACAAUGAUAUUGGAUAUGAUUUUAUCAACAGAAGUGUAGAAAUGAAGCCGCUUUUCCAUGCCAUUGCAUUGCAACGGUACAUACUUUUAUGCACACAGAUAGUUGUCUGUGAGAACAGAAAGGAAUUGCAAUAUGGAGGACUGGGGCAUUGACGGACAGGGAGAUAUGAAGUUCAUUUAUGGGACAAAGGGUCUUGGCAUCCAACAU